rnacentral:rRNA from 1 species
CGCAUGUUCACAUGAUUAAAGGUAUUCCGGUAGACGAUGGGGAUGCGUUCCAUUAGAUAGUAGGCGGGGUAACGGCCCACCUAGUCUUCGAUGGAUAGGGGUUCUGAGAGGAAGGUCCCCCACAUUGGAACUGAGACACGGUCCAAACUCCUACGGGAGGCAGCAGUGAGGAAUAUUGGUCAAUGGGCGCAGGCCUGAACCAGCCAAGUAGCGUGAAGGAUGACUGCCCUAUGGGUUGUAAACUUCUUUUAUAAAGGAAUAAAGUCGGGUAUGUAUACCCGUUUGCAUGUACUUUAUGAAUAAGGAUCGGCUAACUCCGUGCCAGCAGCCGCGGUAAUACGGAGGAUCCGAGCGUUAUCCGGAUUUAUUGGGUUUAAAGGGAGCGUAGAUGGAUGUUUAAGUCAGUUGUGAAAGUUUGCGGCUCAACCGUAAAAUUGCAGUUGAUACUGGAUAUCUUGAGUGCAGUUGAGGCAGGCGGAAUUCGUGGUGUAGCGGUGAAAUGCUUAGAUAUCACG